rnacentral:rRNA from 1 species
GCUACGGGAGGCUGCAGUAGGGAAUUUUCGGCAAUGGGGGGAACCCUGACCGAGCAACGCCGCGUGAAGGAAGAAGGAAUUCGUUCUGUAAACUUCUGUUAUAAAGGAAGAAAGACGGAUGGAGGAAAUGACAUCCGAGUGACGGUACUUUAUGAGAAAGCCACGGCUAACUACGUGCCAGCAGCCGCGGUAAUACGUAGGUGGCAAGUGUUAUCCGGAUUUAUUGGGAGGAAAGAGGUAGCAGGCGGCAGCUAAGGUCUGUGGUGAAAGACUGAAGCUUAACUUCAGGAAGCCAUAGAAACCGGGUAGCUAGAGUGCAGGAGAGGAACGUGGAAUGCGAGGUGUAGCGGUGAAAUGCGUAGAUAUAUGGAGGAACACCAGUGGCGAAGGCGACGAUCUGGCCUGCAACUGACGCUCAGUCCCGAAAGCGUGGGGAGCGAAUAGGAUUAGAUACCCCUGUAGUC